rnacentral:rRNA from 1 species
ACUCMUACGSGAGGCAGCAGUGKSGAAUUUUKGACAAUGGGGGAAAYCCUGAUCCAGYCMUCCCGCGUGUAUGAUGAASGCCUUYGGGUUGUAAAGUACUUUUGGCAGAGAAGMAAAGGUAUCCCSUAAUACGGGAUACYGCKGACGGUAUSKGCAGAAUAAGCACYGGCUAACUACGUGCCAGCAGCCGCGGUAAUACGUAGGGUGCAAGCGUUAAUYGGAAUUACUGGGCGUAAAGCGUGUGUAGGCGGUUCGGAAAGAAAGAUGUGAAAUYCCAGGGCUCAACCUUGGAACUGCAUUUUUAACUGCCGAGCUAGAGUAUGUCAGAGGGGGGUAGAAUUCCACKYGUWGCAKUGAAAUGSGUAGAUAUGUGGAGGAAUACCGAUGGCGAAGGCAGCCCCCUSGGAUAAUACUGACGCUCAGACACGAAAGCGUGGGGAGCAAACAGGAUUAGAUACCCUGGUAGUCCACGCCCUAAACGAUGUCAACUAGCUGUUGGGGYCGUUAGGCCUUAGUAGCSCAGCUAACGCGUGAAGUUGWCCGCCUGGGGAGUACGGUCSCAAGAUUAAAACUCAAAGGAAUUGACGG